UGGCGGAUUUCUUUCUUUGAGACCUCCAUACUCGACGCACAAUAAUUCACGACAGAGCUAUUCCAAGCGCAACACUGUCAAAAAAGUGUUUGUAAUAUACAGUCACAUUUUUCCUACAUCUUAUUGCAAGAUCCUACGUUAACAAGAUAUACUUUUAUGUGAACUAGGAGAUCACAUAAAAGUUAAAUUAUAGUUUCAAGAAAAGCGUGGGAUCUAUCAAAUAACUUUUUCACCGACCUAAUAUGUGGUGUACAAACUGUACCUUGUUUAUAUGCAAAUUGCAUCUAGGAGGGUGGUCUAAAAAGUUUCCAACCCCAACAUAAAGAUCCAGCACUCGUAAAUAAAAGCUAGUCACAUCCAUUUUCCAUUUGUGGACAGUGACUCCUCAAAGUUUCAGGGAUUUUGGACGUACAGUUGUUAUGUAACAGUCGUUUGAAUGACUUUAGAAAUGUGUUUCUCACGUUUUAUUACUGCGAUCGGCUUACGAUAGAUGUUGUUAGAAAGAUAAAAUUUCGUCCUAAGAAACUUGAUUAAACAGUUUUGUGAUUGUUUGACUCAGGUUUGUUUGAGAGCGCGUCAAGGAUGGACAGAAGCCAAGAGAAAAUAAGCCAUAUUUUACAGUUUCUCUUCGAUAACGGGGAAAACGCAAGCCGGGUGACUGAAAAUGUAAUUAAUGUUUAUGGUCCUGAUACGGUAACAGCCAAUUACAGGCAAGUUUUGUUUCGUCAAAUCUGUUCCAGUAAUUUUGAUGUCAAAGAUGCAUCACACUCUGGAAGGUCAAUUGUCGAAAAUUUGGAUAAAAUAAUGGAAAGCGUCGAGUCCAACUGUCAUUUUCUUUUUACUCCGCCGCGAGAAAUUUUCA
rnacentral:lncRNA from 1 species